ACCCGGCUGACGAGUCCCAAAUAAGACGAAACGUUCGUUCUGGAU
rnacentral:hammerhead_ribozyme from 1 species